rnacentral:rRNA from 1 species
ACAGCAGUCGCCGCGGGAAAACCGAGGGUGCAAGCGUUAAUCGGAAUUACUGGGCGUAAAGCGCGCGUAGGUGGUUUGUUAAGUUGGAUGUGAAAGCCCCGGGCUCAACCUGGGAACUGCAUCCAAAACUGGCAAGCUAGAGUACGGUAGAGGGUGGUGGAAUUUCCUGUGUAGCGGUGAAAUGCGUAGAUAUAGGAAGGAACACCAGUGGCGAAGGCGACCACCUGGACUGAUACUGACACUGAGGUGCGAAAGCGUGGGGAGCAAACAGGAUUAGAUACCCGUGUAGUCCCUGUCUCUUAUAC